rnacentral:rRNA from 1 species
UUAGGAAUAUUGGACAAUGGGGGCAACCCUGAUCCAGCCAUGCCGCGUGAGUGAAGACGGCCUUAGGGUUGUAAAGCUCUUUCAGGUGUGAGGAUAAUGACAGUAACACCAGAAGAAGCCCCGGCUAAAUUCGUGCCAGCAGCCGCGGUAAUACGAAUGGGGCGAGCGUUGUUCGGAAUGACUGGGCGUAAAGCGUAUGUAGGCGGAAUGGAAAGUCAGAAGUGUAAGCCCGGGGCUUAACCCCGGAAUUGCUUUUGAAACUUCCAUUCUAGAGUUCUGGAGAGGCAAGGGGAAUUCCGAGUGUAGAGGUGAAAUUCGCAGAUAUUCGGAGGAACACCAGUGGCGUAGGCGCCUUGCUGGACAGAUACUGACGCUGAGAUACGAAAGCGUGGGGAGCAAACAGGAUUAGAUACCCCCGUAGUCC